AGAGGGUGACACUCCCGUCCGCCUGGCAGAGUGAGUCAUUUGUCAACGAGUCGAGUUGUUUGGGAUUGCAGCUCUAAUUUGGUGGCAAAUUCCAUCUAAAGCUAAAUAUUGGUGGGAGACCGAUAGCGCACGAGUACCGUGAGGGAAAGAUGCAGAGAACUUUGAAAAGAGAGUUAAAGAGUACCUGAAACUGCUGAAACGGAAGCGAAGGAAACCAGUGUUUGUUUGUUCAUAUUUCCCUAGCCACUUGUGGCUUGGGCGCUGUGGGCUUGCGUGAGUUUGGGUUGGUUGAUUCCUUUGGAAGAGCGCAGUCAGAGUUGAUGUCU
rnacentral:rRNA from 1 species